rfam:Felis catus isolate Cinnamon breed Abyssinian chromosome B2, whole genome shotgun sequence.
GUGCUCCCUUUGGUAGCACAUAUACUAAAAUUGGAACAAUGCAGAGAAAAUUAGUACAUCCCCUAUGCAAGGAUGACAUACAAAUAAAGAUAAUGAUUUAUGGUCUUU